CCUACGGGAGGCUGCAGUAGGGAAUAUUGGUCAAUGGAUGGAAGUCUGAACCAGCCAUGCCGCGUGCAGGAAGAAGGCCUUCUGGGUCGUAAACUGCUUUUGCCGGGGGAUAAAAUUACCUUGCGAGGUAAAUUGAAGGUACCCGGUGAAUAAGCCACGGCUAACUACGUGCCAGCAGCCGCGGUAAUACGUAGGUGGCAAGCGUUGUCCGGAUUUAUUGGGUUUAAAGGGUGCGUAGGCGGCCUAUUAAGUCAGUGCUGAAAUACUCUAGCUUAACUAGAGGGGUGGCAUUGAUACUGAUGGGCUUGAGUGGAGUCGAGGUAGGCGGAAUUGACGGUGUAGCGGUGAAAUGCUUAGAUAUCGUCAAGAACACCGAUAGUGUAGACAGCUUACUAGGCUUCAACUGACGCUGAGGCACGAAAGUGUGGGGAUCAAACAGG
rnacentral:rRNA from 1 species